AGGUAUCACGUUGAGUAGGACUAAAAUAGAGUACAUGGAGAGCAAGUUAAUGCAAGGGUAAAAUGGUAAUUGACGUAACUGAUUUUUAUCAACACAGACAUAUUUAGCUCAGCCAAUUCAUCUUCUUUAUGUCCGUCUCUGUUUCUCUCACUUCAAGAUACUGAGGGCAUGACUCAACAAUUGCCAAGGCCCGAGAGGCAAAGGAAUAGGCAAAUUACUCAGUCAUCUUCCUCAAACUCCUCUUCUCCUUUGUGCUCAAACUGGCUAUAUUCUCAUCUUUACUACCAGUUUGUAUGUUGAAAGUGGGUUGCAUCGCAAUUGAUGGUGGGCCCUAGGACUCUUUAUUUCUAGUUUUCGCUCAUCGACAUACCGCACCAGAUGUGGAGACUAAAGGCGCAAUCAGUUGUCCAAACAUAUACAUAUCCAGUUGCAAGACACUUAAACGUUAUCCAAACAAACAAAGCUACGGGUUGGAGCAAAAAACAAGUCCUCUCCUAAGAAAAUGAUUGAUUAUUCAUCAAAGAAAAGGUCAAAGGAGUCACAUCACUGAGUGGUAUUUAUUGGGUCGCGAGAACUACCAGCUCCCUGAACAUAUCUAGAUAUAAGGAAGAAUACAAAGUAGCAUAUGUUUCCAGCAAUAUCAACCUCAUCUAUGUUCGAAGAUUCGAAAUGCAGAAGUGGGCUAAGAUGGAGUAGCAUGUAAGGAAUGAUAAUUUGGCCAUCAUCACUAUCACUUUAAGGGGGAACAGAUGGUUGUGAGGAUGGUUCUGACUAGAAUAUGCUUAUUUGGAGUUUGUUUUGUAUGAGUACUACGACGUCAUAUUCAGAUCUCACCUCAGGAAGACCACGUGUAACGUGGGUCUUAUACUGUGUCAGGGACUGUUUGAAUCUACUCCCAGCAACAGUUGAAGAGCUUUCACAGAAACUAUGGCCUGAACAUCGAUGUGUUCUCUAAGUUGUCAAGUUGCAUUUACACCGUUGAAGGAUCCUUGAGAACGCCUCCACUUUGAUUCUUUUUGUUCGUAGAUGGUGUAAACGCUGAUAGCAAUAUCAUGCACAGGGUUGAUCAUGUGGCAUAUGAUGAAGGAUAGGAAAUGAUUUUUUUUUUAAUCAGAUGUUCCGAUGGGGCAAGGAUAAAAAAUGAGUAAUCAAAUCAUAUGCACAAAGAAAAAAAGAUCAUAUGAUUGGGUUUGGUUUUGUAAGUGCAUUUUCAAAGAAAGCACAGCAAGCAAUAUUUGCUCAGUUCUACAUC